rnacentral:tmRNA from 1 species
GGGGGCGACCGGUUUCGAUUGUGUAGGUGGCUCCGUGGCAGCGUGCCCAGGUCCUCGGGUUCCUGGUAAAACACUCGGGAAAAUUCCAAUCGCGAACAACAACUUCGCCCUGGCUGCGUAACCUGGCCUAACGGCCCGUUACACCAGCAGUGCUCCUCAGGAAGCCCACCCGGGGCGGCUUGAGGAGUAUCGCAAAUCCGGGGGUAGGGCAGUCGUCCGCCGUCGGCGGCUGCGCGAAACUUUAGACGGCUCAUCCAGCAGUGGGCGGCCUGUCGGCCAGCGGCUGGAAACAUCAAUCGACGGGCUACGCACGUAGACGCAACGGAAGAUCUUAUGCAAGACGGGAGUUCGAUUCUCCCCGCCUCCACUU